CUCUUGUGAGCUCCGCGGCCUGCGGCUCCGGAAGGGGAAGCUCUUCCAGGAAGCAGCGGCGGUCCCACGGGCCCUCUCAGGCUGCGGAGAAAGGGCGGGAGGCCGCGGGGCUCUCCAGGACUCAGUGGUUUCGGAGAAACUCGACUUCCCAGGCUCGGAGGGCCAGUUUGGGAUUCUUAUAGAACAAAACGUGGGCGGCAUAAAGUGCUCCGAAGUGGAGAUCACCUUGAAGACUGGGCCCUUGGCUCUGUGACCCAGCAGACCCGAAAUUCCAAUCUGGCAAACUUUCAACCUGACCCUCGGGAAAGGAUUGCUCCCAGAGUGUGAGGGUGGAGGUGAUGGGACAAAGAUCUUAAAAUCCUGAAAAACAACCGUUAUUCUCAACUGAAUUUCUGCUAAGUGCAUUCAUUCUUAAACACUACGUGCCUGGCGCUCUUCACGUGUAUUAACUGGUUUAAUUCCCACAACCGUAAGUAGGGGCUGUUAAUCUCACAAUGGCAGAGCCACCAUUCAAAGCCAGGCAGUCUGACUCCAGCCUCUGUGGGCUUAACCACUACCCGCCGCCAAGCAGUUCCUAGGAUCCUGGCAGGGAGAGGCAUGGUGAGGACAGCAGACGAGGUCCCUCAAGUAGCUUGCAUUCUGGAAGAAAAGAAAGAUUAUGAACAAGUUUCAGAUUGGUAAAAUAAUUGUCAGUGGAGAUUCAUGCCAUAAAAGAAGUGAGUAAAAGGAAGAACUACUUUCAGUAAGAUGGUUUGGGAUGGAGUUUCUGUUCAUAAGGGCAGAAAUGGACUCUCUCUGACUUAAAGAGAAAAAACUUUAAGAGUUUGGGGUAACCCACAGAAUUAUCAGGAUGUCUCAGAAUACAGACAAGAACAAAGGGAGGCUCGGCAGCCAAAAUCCCUCCGCUAAACCACUUUGAUGAGGACCAAACAGGUGCUACUGCUGAAAGCUAGACACCACAUCCUACUCCACAACCAACGCUGGAACUCCCCAGACACCCCGCUGGCUCUGCCGCCCCUAAACCGGAUGCGGCAGCCACCGCUGACCCCACAGCGGAUUCUCCACCACCCCAUUGCUUUGCAUUGCAUCACCACCUCCUGAGUGUGCCUAAUCGGCACCCCGCUGCUUCUGAUGCAAAAUUCCAAGCUGUACUGGGCAAACGCGCAGCCUCUGGCACCAUUCCCAGUGCUGCUGAGCAUGCAGACCUGAGCACAGCGGAGGGGGAGGGCUUGAUGGGGAGGGGCACUUACAAUUCAUCCACUCUAUUGAAGGCCCCUCAAACACACACGACCCAGUUUGGCUGGUGCAGACUUUUCUGUCCCCUCCUGAUAGCAUUUCAGCCUCUCUUCCAAUAAAAAAUAGUAGCUACUAA
rnacentral:lncRNA from 1 species